AGGUAUGCUGUUUGGUUGAUUUCUUUGAUUAUUUAUUGUUUUAGAGUUGUUGAAAAAGGCUACUACUGUGAAAAGGAUGCUGCAGACGCCAUAAAAAUGAUAUUGGAGGCAGUUUGGGCAAGCCCGCCUUGGUAAUCAGGAAAGGCGGCCCACACCGGUGCAGCAUACUCCAUUACAGAACGUACAAGGUUACAGUAGAUCUGAACCAGCUCCACCGGUGCGACACCAGCCUUCCUGAGGACCCGGAAAGAAUAUAACCUCUUAUUUGCCUUCUUUAUUACAUACUCCACAUGCUUGUUCCAGGAGAGAUCUGAACUAAUAAAUACACCAAGAAGCUUGUAAUUCUCCACUUGUUCAACUAUAUAACUCCGGAUCACCAGGGGUUGCAAAGAGUUACAUUGAUAUUCCAAGAAGUUGAUACGCAUCUCUUUACACUUUUUCGGAUUUAACCUCAUACCUCGAGUCGCUGCAAACUCGCUAAUAUAAUUUUCUAUAUACUGUAUGUAACUAGGGCUGCAGCGUGGAAUAAUCUAAAAAAUAGUUGUAUCGUCAACAAUUACAUAAUAUCUUUUGUUUAAUAAAAUAAUACUACACGCAA